rnacentral:rRNA from 1 species
UACGGAGGGUGCAAGCGUUGUUCGGAAUUAUUGGGCGUAAAGAGCAUGUAGGCGGACUGUUAAGUCUGGUGUGAAAGCCCGGGGCUCAACCCCGGAAGUGCAUCGGAUACUGGCAGUCUUGAGUAUGGGAGAGGAAAGUGGAAUUCCGAGUGUAGGAGUGAAAUCCGUAGAUAUUCGGAGGAACACCAGUGGCGAAGGCGGCUUUCUGGACCAAUACUGACGCUGAGAUGCGAAAGCGUGGGGAGCAAAC